UGUAAUGAGCAAUACUGCACUGAAAAAAAAAACCCUUAUGGCUCCACUGAUGUAUCUAUUUUCUUCAGAGAAAUUCUCCGUCUCAGAAUUGCAGGACCGUAAGCUCCUACGGAGUUAACAGAUGUACGCACGUCUGAGGCAGUCAUGCGGCAAGAGACUUUGGGGCCAAUCCUUUCUGUUUUGACAGUGUGUAAUCGAGUUGCUACUGUGUGCCAGGCCUGUGGAUGUAUUCCCC